AUUGAACGCUGGCGGCAGGCUUAACACAUGCAAGUCGAACGAGUGGCGGACGGGUGAGUAAUGCUUGGGAAUCUAGCUUAUGGAGGGGGAUAACUACGGGAAACUGUAGCUAAUACCGCGUACCAUCGGAUGAGCCCACGUGGGAUUAGGUAGUUGGUGAGGUAAAGGCUCACCAAGCCGACGAUCUCUAGCUGGUCUGAGAGGAUGACCAGCCAAAUUGGGACUGAGACAGGUCCCAUACUCCUACGGCAGGUCGCAGUGGGGAAUAUUGCGCAACGGGGGCAACCCGGUCGCAGCCAUGCCGCGUGAAUGAAGAAGGCCUUAGGGUUGUAAAUUACUUUCAGCGUGGAGGCUUUACCCGUAGAAGAAGCACCGGCUAACUCCGUGCCAGCAGCCACGGUAAUUC
rnacentral:rRNA from 1 species